rnacentral:rRNA from 1 species
AACGUAGGAGGCGAGCGUUAUCCGGAUUUACUGGGCGUAAAGCGCGUGCAGGCGGUUGCACAAGUUGGGCGUAAAAUCUCCUGGCUUAACUGGGAGGCGCCGUCCAAUACUGUGUGACUUGAGGGCAGGAGAGGGAAGCGGAAUUCCCGGUGUAGCGGUAAUAUGCGCAGAUAUCGGGAGGAACACCAGUGGCGAAGGCGGCUUCCUGGCCUGUACCUGACGCUAAGACGCGAAAGCUAGGGGAG